rnacentral:rRNA from 1 species
GAUGAACGCUAGCUACAGGCUUAACACAUGCAAGUCGCGGGGCAGCAUGGGGGUUUCUUGCAACCCCUGAUGGCGACCGGCGCACGGGUGAGUAACGCGUAUCCAACCUGCCCUUCACCACUGGAUAACCCGGCGAAAGUCGGACUACUACCGUAUUUUUUCCAUUGACGGCAUCCUAUUAGGACGCAAUGCUUGGCGGAGUAAUGGUGGGGCUGCGUCCGAUUAGCUUGACGGCGGGGGAACAGCCCACCGUGGGUACGUUCGGUAGGGGGUCUGAGAGGAAGGUACCCCACAAUGGAACUGAGACACGGUCCAGACUCCUACGGGAGGCAGCAGUAAGGAAUAUUGGGCAAUGAGCGUUAGCCUGAACCAGCCAAGUGGGGUGCAGGAUGACGGCCCUAUGGGUUGUAAGCUGCUUUUAUGCGGCGAUAAAGUGGCCAACGUGUGGGCUUUUGACGGUACCGAAUGAAUAAGGACCGGCUAAUUCCGUG